UGCGGGAUCGCGUGCGCCGGCUCCGACGGGCCGGCCGGCAGUUGCAGAAAACCAUGUGUCAGGGGAACCGGGUUGAAUACCGGGCCGCAGAGGGUGAGGGCCCCGUACCUGAACGCGCAUGGUCUGCCGAUCGCGUCUCCCAAGUAGCACGGGUCCCGUGGAACCCCGUGCGAAUCCGCCCAGACCGUUGGGUAAGCCUGAAUAUUCCUGUCUGACCGAUAGCGAACGAGUACCGUGAGGGAAAGGUGAAAAGUACCCCGGGAGGGGAGUGAAACAGUCUCUGAAACCGUGCGCCUACAAUCCGUCGGAGCCCUUUUGUGGGGUGACGGCGUGCCUAUCGAAAAAUGAGUCUGCGAGUCAGUGGCAUGUGGCGAGCAUAACCCGUGUGGGGUAUGCGUAGCGAAGGCGAGUCUUAAAAGGCGUUUGAGUCGCGUGUCCUGGACCCGAAGCGGGAUGAUCUAGCCCUGAGCAGGUUGAAGCGCGGGUAAGACCGCGUGGAGGACCGAACCCACCUGGGUUGAAAACCGGGGGGAUGACCUGGGGCUAGGGGUGAAAGGCCAAUCAAAUUCCGUGAUAGCUGGUUCUCUCCGAAAUGCAUUUAGGUGCAGCGUCGGUCGAUUGCGUCGCGGGGGUAGAGCUACCGGAUGCUUGCGGGCCCUUGUUGGGUACCAACAGCAGCCGAACUCCGAAUACCGUUGACGUGUAUUCCGGCAGUGAGUCGGCGGGGGAUAAGCUCCGUCGUCGAGAGGGAGACAGCCCAGACCGUCGUCUAAGGUCCCGAAGCGUGUGCUAAGUGGGAAAGGAUGUGGAGUCGCAUAGACAGCCAGGAGGUUGGCUCAGAAGCAGCCAUCCUUGAAAGAGUGCGUAACAGCUCACUGGUCUAGUGGUUCCGCGCCGACAAUGUAGCGGGGCUCAAGCACACCACCGAAGACGCGGCAGCAAUCUUCAUGGUUGCUGGGUAGGAGAGCGUCCUGCGAGGGGCGAAGCGGCCGGGUGACCGUGCCGUGGACUUCGUGGGAGUGAGAAUGCAGACAUGAGUAGCGAGAGACGGGUGAGGAUCCCGUCCGCUGGAUGACCAAGGGUUCCGGGGCCACGUUCGUCGUCCCCGGGUGAGUCGGGUCCUAAGGCGAGGCCGACAGGCGUAGUCGAAUGGAUGAACGGGUGGAUAUUCCCGUACCGACCAUGGACCGGCAAAACCGAGACGGUGAGUACUAACCUCCGCCUCGUGGUGGUUCCUUCCUUCGGGUUGGUUCCGCCGCGUGGUGUUGGGACCGUAGCCGUAGUAGGUCAGCGCAGGGGUGACACGGAAUGGGAGCCGGCCGCGGAGGUGGUUUUCCGUGGUCAAGCACGCAGCCAGUCAUGUAGGCAAAUCCGCAUGGCGCGCAUGGCGAGGUGUGAUGAUGGGAGCCGUUAUGGCUCGAUAUCCGGUUGUCCAGGCCGUCGAGAAAAGCCUCGGCGUGAGGGCCAUGGCCGCCCGUACCCCAAACCGACACUGGUGGUCAGGUAGAGAAUACCAAGGCGAUCGAGCGAAUCCUGGUCAAGGAACUCGGCAAAUCACUCCCGUUCCUUCGGUUUAAGGGAGACCCCCGAUGGUGAACACACUUGCUGUGGGAGCUUUUGGGGGUGGCACAGACCAGGGGGUAGCGACUGUUUACCAAAAACACAGGUGCAUGCGAAGGCGCAAGCCGCUGUAUAUGCACUGACGCCUGCCCGGUGCCGGAAGGUUAAGAGGAUCCGUCAGCCUUCGGGUGAAGCGGUGAAUUCAAGCCCCGGUAAACGGCGGUGGUAACUAUAACCAUCCUAAGGUAGCGAAAUUCCUUGUCGGGUAAGUUCCGACCUGCACGAAUGGCGUAACGACUUCCCCACUGUCUCGACCAGGAGCUCGGCGAAAUUGCAGUACGAGUAAAGAUGCUCGUUAAGCGCAGAAGGACGAAAAGACCCCGGGACCUUUACUAUACCUUGGUAUUGGCAUUCGGUGUGGAUUGUGUAGCAUAGGCGGGAGGCCGAGAGGCGCGGUCGCCAGAUCGCGCGGAGCCGUAAGGUGAAAUACCGCUCUGUUCGCAUUGGAUGUCUAACCUCGAACAGUCAUCCUGUUCAGGGACAGUGCCUGGCGGGUAGUUUAACUGGGGCGGUUGCCUCCCAAAGAGUAACGGAGGCGCCCAAAGGUCCGCUCAGCCCGGUUGGCAAUCGGGUGGCGAGUGCAAGUGCACAAGCGGGCUUGACUGCGAGGACGACGGUCCGAGCAGGGACGAAAGUCGGGACUAGUGAUCCGGUGCCGGUGUACGGACGCGGCAUCGCUCAACGGAUAAAAGGUACCCCGGGGAUAACAGGCUGAUCAU
rnacentral:rRNA from 1 species